GGCGGGAGUGAACGUCGGGCUCCGCCGCACCAGCGGGUUCGAGCCGCCGGGAGCGCGGUGGGGCCGGCGCGCGUAACCGAGCAGACAGUCGGCGGACCAGCAGCCAAUCGACGAGGUCCGGGCGGCCCCGGAACGCUGCGUGUGGAGCGCGCUCCGGGCAAACGCGGGGCUGCCGAAUGGGUUGCUGAGUCGCGCGGUACGACUAGUAACCUGGAGGAGAAGCAGAGGAGACCAAGCGCGGUCCUCGCAGCCCUCUGAGGUUUGCUCUUUCAGAUGGACAGAUGGACUUGCCUUUCUGUUUGGUUGGGGGAAGUCUACCUUCUGUACCUACUUGUUCUAAUUUUAAAGAUGAAGAAAGACUGGAUGAUUUUCACCAUGUUUACCAACUGAUGAAGGAAAGUGCUGAUUAUGCCAGAAGUUCUUCCUGUUUUGACAUCUGGAUGAAAUGCUUGCCGUUUCAGUGUUGAAAGUCCUAUGGACCAGACUGUUUUCCUUACUCCAAACAUGACAGCUAUUCAAAAGUUGCAUUCACGUAGCAAAUGUAAAUUAGGAAUACACGUAUAUUUUCAAAAACUACCAAGGGUGAAUAAGUAAAUGGUAAUAUUUGUAUGACAGUUUUUUUCCCUUCUGUAUAUUUGUGCUGGAAGAUGUUGAACUCCUCCAAAGAAAUGUUGAUGUUUAUUUUGUAGAACUUCUGAGGUUUUGUGAAGGAUGCAACAAGGGAAUAUAGUAAAUCAUUCUUCUUUUCUUAAAGAAAUUUGACCUAAAAUGUGCUGUACCUUGUGAAAAAUAAGGCAAUCUUUUAUGAGUUUUUCAACUCAUUUUGAUGUAGUUUUUAGCCAUUUCUAAUCAUUGUACCUAUUUUGGUACAUUUGUUGACUACGAUAGUUGACCUCUUUUUUAUGAGCAUUUAACAUUUCAAAGAUAUAUAUAAAAUAUGGUAUAUGACCAUUGUAUUACUAAUCUGUUUUCUGCUGCUAUAACAAAAUGCCUGGGGCCGGAACUUCAUACCAAAAAUAUAUAUUUAUCUCACAGUUUUGGAGGCUAAAAUUCCAGGAUUGGGCAGCCUCUUCAGUUUGGCCUCUGGUGAGUACGCCUCCUGCUUGGUUCUUUCAUAACAUGGCAUAUGACAUCAUGGACCCAGGCGUGCAUUCAGAAGAGAUAACAUGGCAAGACAGGAAUCCAGAGAGAUUCAGUGGCCAGGCUUGCUCUUUUUAUAACAACUUUCACUCAAGAGAACUAACUCAUUCUGUGAGACCAGCAUUAAUACCUUCCUAGAGUGAUUCUCCUGUGACCUAAUUACAUUCUUCUAUGCCCCACUUGAAGGUACCACCACUUCAGUGCCACCACACCGGGGACCAAACUUCCAGUAAUUGAAUCUUUGGGGGACACUCUCAAGCCGUAUCCAAACCUCGGUACCAAGUUAACUAGGUCCAUGUUUAUAUACUAGAUUCAGAAAAUGUAUGAAUUGGAGGAAGCCACAGAAAAGCAUUUAUAUAUCUGUUCUAUCUAUCUAUAUGUGUGUGUGUAUAUAUAUAUAAAAUAUUAAUUAAAUGAUGCAUUAUUUCUUCCUUUCAGUGAAGUUUUUAACAUUAUAUCCACCAUCACCUUGUUUUUCAAGUCUUUUUCUAUUUACCUGCUUCCUUUAAAAUCAUCUGCUACCAAGGAAAUAAUAAAUUAAAUGUAUAAUUAAUGUACUCUUGAUAUAUGAGAAAAUCACCACAGAGUAUGGUAAGGAACCCCCAAAAUAUGUUGUUUUUGAAAGUGAAAAAGUGAACACAGUAAAUAAUUUUUAAACAAAAAUUUUUCGUGAAAGAACUACAAUUAUGAGUUUUAAAAUAUUUUUUUAAAUAAAAAAACUCUUCAACCAGACUCUGGGAAGAUAAAUCUGACCACCUUAAAAAUUCUAGGAUCCAUAAAUGAAGUGUGAGGAGGGAAAUUAGCUGCAGACUAGCUUCAGGGUGUUCUAUGAAAAAACCAGAAUCUGUCUAGCAAGUGAUAUAAAAGAAAUUCAAGUUUAACUUUUUAACCAAAGGAAAGGCUUCAGGAUGAUAGUGAAUUAGGUAUUAGUUGAGAUGGUGUAGAAUAGAAAAAUAAGUAUAAAAGUUAUUGCCAUUUGAACCAUAGAACUUCUGAUUGCAAGAGAUUAGUUUCUAAUAAGCCUUCAUUCCAGCAGGUUUACUAGGGAUUAAAAGGGAGUUUCAGUUGACAUGUGACUUAAAAAGCUGAGUAUCCAAAGUUAAGCAAGAUAUCUGUAGGGCAAUAGAAGAACUGUUCUACAAGUUAAAGUCGUGUUAGAAGAUUAGAAGACCUUUUUAAAAUGGUACAUUGGAGACACCCAGCUCUGGCUUUUAUCUCUAUAAGAUAUAAUUAAAACAACGAAUGUAGCUGCUCAUGGUUUACCAUGGGAGAAUACUAGAGUUCAAUAUUGGACAGAGACUUGGAGAAACCCAGAGAUGUUAGAUAGUAAAAUAGAAAGUGAAGCAAUACAACCCACUGCCCACUGCACAGAAAUGUCACAGAGGACAGGAAAUACCCCUUCAGCAGUAAUAGAGGAGAAAAAAGGAGAGUUACAGUGAACACUGCUGACACAGGAUUCAUAAUGAACUGACUCUGGAGAAGUUCUCUGCACCUCCCAGCAUAUUAUCGUGAUGUUCUAAUGGGGUGCCAUCUUGAGAAGGGCCCUCUUAUCUGAACUCAUUUCUUGGAGAAUUAGCCCAUGAGAGAAUAGAAGGCACUUCACUUUGAAUGCUGCAACUUGCCAGGCCAUCUAUUGCAGUCUGGAGGAUUGUGCAGUUGAGUGUGAUGUUCCACAGGAGCCAGGACUGGAAACACCAGAUGAUGAGUGCUGGGUGGUAGAUUGCACAGACCUUAUUGUUUCCCUCCCCCCAGCAUAGAUCUUUAAGAUUCCAUUACCUCUCCCACCCACAGGGAUGAAGACAGGGAUGUCAGAGCCAGUGUUACCCCAGCCCUCAGAGUGCACAGCUCCAGAGUGAAACUUUGGGGAAUUCUGCAUUCUCUGCUAGAUCCUUAACAGACCACCUAGGUAUUUAAUGUCUACCCUGCUCUAGGAGUGUGCAACCCAAAUAGUUCCAGAGAGAAUUUGUUUCUAGGGAGAUAUGUUUCACCCUAGCUUGUUCCAGCAUGCAAAGCAGCUGUGAGAAAUUCCAACUAGUCACAAAUCACUCCUGCUAGUCGCUUGAGGACACCACAA